AUACGUAGGGGGCGAGCGUUAUCCGGAUUUAUUGGGCGUAAAGCGUGUGUAGGCGGUUUGUUAAGUUUAAGAUUAAAGCCCGAGGCUUAACCUCGGUUCGUCUUAAAAACUGGCAGACUUGAGUGCAGUAGAGGCAAGUGGAAUUUCUAGUGUAGCGGUUAAAUGCGUAGAUAUUAGAAGGAACACCAGUGGCGAAGGCGGCUGGCUGGGCUGUUACUGACGCUGAGACACGAAAGCGUGGGGAGCAAAUAGGAUUAGAUACCCUAGUAGUCCACGCCGUAAACGAUGAGUACUAAGUGUCGGGUAACCGGUGCUGAAGUUAACACAUUAAGUACUCCGCCUGAGUAGUACGGUCGCAAGGCUGAAACUCAAAUGAAUUGACGGGG
rnacentral:rRNA from 1 species